GAUGAAGAACGCAGCGAAAUGCGAUAAGUAAUGCGAAUUGCAGAAUUUCCGUGAGUCAUCGAAUCUUUGAACGCACAUUGCGCCCUUUGGUAUUCCGAAGGGCAUGCCUGUUCGAGCGUCAUUUCAACCAUCAAGCCCUAGGCUUGCGUUGGAGCCCUGCGGCUGCCGCAGGCCCCUAAAAGCAGUGGCGGGCUCGCUAUCACACCGAGUGCAGUAGAUUACUCUUCGCUCAGGGCGUGUGGCGGGUUCCAGCCGUGAAACCCCCUACUUCUCAAGGUUGACCUCGGAUCAGGUAGGAAUACCCGCUGAACUUAAGCAUAUCAAUAAGCGGAGGA
rnacentral:misc_RNA from 1 species